AAACAGCUUCAGCCCUAUAGUGGCUGUGUAGUGGUGGGUUGCUGGAGCUCUCUUCCAGCUGAGUUACUCUGGAGAGCAAUAUACAUCCCACAUCAAGCCCUCACCAGACUUCCUGUGCUGCCGCUCUGACCUAAGAAAUAAAGGCCAAUGCCUUGCCCAGCUAACAGCGCCGACAAAGGCAGUCCCUCGUUAUCUGCCCUGGUGGGGAUGAAUCCCUGGAAACUCUGCCAGGUAGCCCUGGCUGGAUUUGCAAUUAGGCAAAAUGCGACUCGCUCAUCUCUGUUUAAGACCUAACCAACCCACCCAUCUCCGGUAGCAAUGGUAUUGUCCAUUGUCAUUCAAGGUCACAAAGCUACAGUCACGGCACACUUGAUGCUUCUGCAAGAAGGAUACAAGAGUGGGGCUGUCUUCUGCUCCACUGAAGCCAACAGCAAAAACUAAUGGGGCCCUCAAAGGCCCAACUGCUGGGAGUAGUGCUGAGUGGUGAGCAAACCUUCAGGGGUUGUCUGAUCAGCUGAACCUGCGGAAUCUUCUCAGAAGCUCCUUUGUGCUCAGCUUACACAAGGCCCUGUGGUGGGGAAAUUUCUUGAGGUCAGGCUUAAAGUGUCCCUGGUUUCCCACAGAGCUGUGAGCUGUGCAAGGACAGCCCGUCUUAUGGAAUUUCAAUGCACCAGCUUCUGACAGUGGAAUUCCCCUCCCCCACCCAGGCAUUCACCAGACCAGAGCCAUCAAAAGUUAAAUAUUUUCACGCCUCCGAGAUUCAGAAUAACUGCACUGGGUCAAAUGUUGGUCCCUACCUACUGAGGGGUAUAAGUCAUGAAAGAUGGUGGAAGUUGUACAGUGCCAGCAUACAGCAAGAAGAUCAGACUGUGGAAUGGCCAUGCAAAGGGAAGUAUUGCCUGCCACACCCAUUCAGAACAUCACUAUGGUUCAAAACAUCAUGACUGGCUUAAAAAUGAGAUUUUAAAAAAAGUUAAAAUUGGGAUGAAUUUAGUUUCUUCUUUGGUUCUGACGCUUGCCCUCAGCUAUGGUUUUCUCUGCAGUCCUGAGAGUUAAAAAUGGAAGCUGAGAUUCUCACAUAAUCACAUGACUCGAAGUGCUGGGGCUUUAAGAAAAUGGCAAAAAUGGUGAGACUUGGCAACACUGGACAAAAAAGCACCCAUCUAUCUUAUGUAUUUAGUUGGUUCUCAUCAUUGUGAUAUACGUUGAUCUUCUCACAAGUGUUUAAUGCACAGAGCCUCACAACCCCUCUGUGAGUUAAGGAAAUUCUAUUCUCCCCCAGUGUAUAGUUAAGUGAUUUGCCUAGGGUCUCACAGGAGGUCUGGAGUACAGCAAGGGAUUGAACCCACAUCUCCCAGAUCCGAGGCAUCUGGCCUAACUACUGGAUCAUCCUUCCUCCUGUAGCCAUUGUUGACUCUCUCCAAGGACCUGCUGAUAGGGCUUGUGUGGGAGGGCAGGGGCACAACUAGUGGAUCUAUUAAAUCCAUUAGCUCAGAUGAUGAAUGAGGGCAUCUGCUCCUACUACAUCCAGUGGGUAGACUCCCGUGUCAUCAUCAUACAAGGUUUUUCCAAGUCCUGUACUGGACUAUGGGAAGGAACUGGGUUGGCUACACUGUAACAUAGACCACAAUUGCAGCACAGAGCCUCUGCGUGAAUGUUGAAGUUGCUGCUUCUGGGGCAGGAGAGAAGAUUCCAUCUUCUGAGCCACUGUGCAAGGCCUAUUUUCUUGGAUGUGAAGAAAGAAUCCUCAUUCCCUCCUCUCCAACUCAGAUUCACUGUCACAAAAAUUGCAGUUUGCAAAUUGCACCUCCAUUGAAACAAUCUGAGGCUUUCACUCUUCUUUACUGUAAAUGCAAUUUGACUUAGUCCAAAUUUGCUCUAAGUGGGUUCUGCACAGAGCCAGCUAAAAACCAAGGAGGUCUAUUCCCUUGGCAGCGGUAGAAAUUGACUGGUGCCCAUUCAUUACUGGAGGUAGCUGACAGAACGUCAAGAGUGGACAGGAAAAAAACAUUUAGCCAAGGCAUCUGCUGGUUGCGUGCAGCCGCUGCAGGCAGGAACUGCUUCCUCUGUUUCCAGGCUUUUUGGGGAAAGUGGAGCUAAAUUAGAACGAAGUGAAAAAAUGUUGCUGUGAACAACAGAAUGCAUUUAGCUGCUUUAAAAAAACAAAACCAACAACACAAAACCUUGGAGUGAUUUACAUGGGAAAGGGGAGGCGGAAAGGAUAUUUUAGAGGCUGUUUUCCAAAACUGAUGACUAACAGAAGAUACAAUGGUUAAAGCAAAUGGUCUAAAUUUCCUGGCCUUUUAAACAGCUGAAUAGAUACUGACAACAAGGGUACCCUGUUUUUCUCCUUGCAUAGCCACUAGAAAAAAUUCUUCUUGUUGUUUUUUUUAAGUGCUUGGUGCUGUACAAGACAAAAAAGACUGCCUCAAAGAGCUUGCAAUGUAAGGGCCCUACCUUGGAAUCAGAUCCUUAAAGAAACAUGGAGUCCCAGUGAAGUCAAUGGGCCUCUAUGUGGUUGUGCCCCCAACAAGACAGAUGUAGAGAAGGCAGGAAUCAGUGGGAAUUGUGGCAGUGGGGAACAAGUCAGACAACUUUAAAUACAUUGUUUUAUUAAUCUUGACUCAUUUCUUGUGGAGGCAUUUGAAAAUUUGUCAGUCUUUCUACUUUCUGCAGUGUCUUUGGGUUACUUAGACUUAGUAGGGUUGCCAACUUUGGUUGGACAUAUUCCUGGAAGUUCUGUCACAUAACAUAAUCUUUAAUCAUUAAUAGAGAAGGCAGGAAUCAGUGGGAAUUGUGGUGGUGGGGAACAAGUCAGACAACUUUAAAUACAUUGUUUUAUUAAUCUUGACUCAUUUCUUGUGGAGGCAUUUGAAAAUUUGUCAGUCUUUCUACUUUCUGCAGUGUCUUUGGGUUACUUAGACUUCGUACGGUUGCCAACUUUGGUUCGACAUAUUCCUGGAAGUUCUGUCACAUAACGUAAUCUUUAAUCAUCAAUUCCUGGAGACUUCUGGACAAUCCUGGAGGGUCAGUAAUGCUAAGACUUAGGCAUCUAAGUCCAGCAUUGAGGCACCACUCAGCUGCUGCCUAACCGUGGAGGCUCCUAAGUUUCCACUGGUGGACAUCAGCGAAGCCACCUGCAUCCUGACGCUGCUGCGCUGCUUGGCACCCAAGCUCAUGCCUAAGUCCUGGCAGGAUUCUUACCCUAGGUGGACCCCCCACCUGUGAGCCGAUGGAGAGAAUUUUUAGAAGGAAAAACCCGCUGGUCUGACAGUCCCUUAGAUGAUAUCAAAGAUGGUAAUAACUGUUCUGCUGGGGAGAAGAGAAGAAGUUAGUUGAGAUGUCAGGGCUCUGAGAAGCACUUUCCUCUUGGAGGCUUGUUCCGGCACAAGGGAAGAAAGGACUAAGGUAGCUUUAACUGAUUAUCACCCAGCGUGAUGCAUCUGCGAAUGGACCAGAGAUUCUGCUGGGACAUCACAAAGAGAAAAAUGUGACUAUUUAUUGCUUCUCAGUGUCAGUUAAUUUAAAACAGAAAAGUACCCUAGGCACGCAAUAGGCCUCAUAUGGACAAACCUUGAGGCCAUGCAGAGCCCCAUUGAAAUCAGAGACCAUUUAGAUAUGUAAAG